rnacentral:rRNA from 1 species
GAUGAACGCUGGCGGCGUGCCUAAUACAUGCAAGUCGAGCGAACAGACGAGGAGCUUGCUCCUUUGACGUUAGCGGCGGACGGGUGAGUAACACGUGGAUAACCUACCUAUAAGACUGGGAUAACUUCGGGAAACCGGAGCUAAUACCGGAUAACAUGGUGAACCGCAUGGUUCAACAGUGAAAGGCGGUCUUGCUGUCACUUAUAGAUGGAUCCGCGCCGCAUUAGCUAGUUGGUAAGGUAACGGCUUACCAAGGCAACGAUGCGUAGCCGACCUGAGAGGGUGAUCGGCCACACUGGAACUGAGACACGGUCCAGACUCCUACGGGAGGCAGCAGUAGGGAAUCUUCCGCAAUGGGCGAAAGCCUGACGGAGCAACGCCGCGUGAGUGAAGAAGGUCUUCGGAUCGUAAAACUCUGUUAUUAGGGAAGAACAAAUGUGUAAGUAACUAUGCACGUCUUGACGGUACCUAAUCAGAAAGCCACGGCUAACUACGUG